CAUUCUUAUACGAUUAAAAGCAAUGAGAAACAUCUAUUUUUAAUCUAUAAAAUAAAAUCAAACAGACCUGUAAAAAUCCAAUUGCACAUGUUGGUUUAAUCUAUUCAUAUCUUUAUUUAUGUUUACAUCGCUUAUAUGAUCAUUUGAGGUCAAAUCGAUAGUUAAUUAGAUGGCGUCUGGACUAAAAUACACACGAAACGAACCUAUAUAUUAUCUACCCCAUGCUCUGUAAACUGUUUAUUUUAGACUUU
rnacentral:lncRNA from 1 species